CGUACUGUAAGAAGCCUGAAGCAUUCAUUAGAGCGGAGCCAAAGGUUAUAUUAACUUAUUCUUGGAGUUUAAUCCGAUGAACCCGUUAAAAAUGAAGUCUGGGCAUUAUCUGAAACACCCCGACGUGUCAAACUCCUCCAAUGUACAACAAGUGCUAAUUGCAAAUCCAGUUCGACACGGGAAUGGGUUUGAUAGAGGCAUACCGUAUGCGCUGGCAGGACAGCAUCUGGGUGGUGCCACCUCCACAAAUCCAAACAGUAAAGAAGACCACGAGCAGAGUGGUGGAGAACAUCAUCUGACGGGCGUAUGUCGCCGUGUCCCUGAUGGACAGAGCGAAGGUCAUCGCACCUCGCAGCCCUGAAGAGCACAGCACGGAGUUUGUUGUUCCACACAAAACAAGUAAGACAAACUAGAACGUGUUCCUAAAAGCCUAAAAAGAUGUUUUACAGCGGGAUAAAUAGACACCGUUAAAUGUCCUCUCCUAUCUGUGUGAACUGUAAUAUAAUAUACCACUCACCCGCAAACAUCAUCAUGUGCUGGAAGUUGGAUCGGAUCUUGUUGCGUCGUCCCAGAUUAAGAAGUAACGAGAGAGGGUAGAUGUUCGCAGCUCUUCCCAGGAACACUGCCACCUGGUUGGGAACGAGGUUAAGGAAAGGACAACAAAAACAGAGAGCUACUGAAGUCUCCUCACUCUGUGUCAAACGGGCAGUUCCAGAUUCCUACUCCAAUACUUACAUGCAAGUGUAAAUAGUGCGAUCAAGCCAAGAGUUACGUCAGGCUUAGUGCGAACCAGAUCCAGUUCCAUUAUGCAAAAGAUACAAAAGCUCCAACGAUGAACAUGGGAUUGAAGACAUGGCUCUGGAAGGUGAACAAGGUCAGACCCAUGUAGGAGAAAAUGAAGUUCUCUGCCAGGAAAUUUAGCAGCUCAAACAACUGCAACACAAGAGAAACAACAUCAACUGAUUUAGAUUAACUGAUUAAACUCACCAAGAAACACAGCGGAGAAAUGCAACAGCUAAACCUUAGAAUUUCAGUGCACAUAUAAAUGCAGUUAUUUUGCAUUAUUAUACUUAAAAGACAAAGCACCCAAUACCUGCACACACACUUACACUGAACCUGUUCAUAGGCCUGAGACAACAGGAAGGGUUCGAGCUUAGAUUUAAAUGUGUAUUCUGUUUUUAAAGAUCGCAAGGAAUGAGGAAAAGAGUUCCAUUGUGUGUGUGGAGUGAAGAAGAGAAGAGUAAAGUAGAGGUUCAAUGCAAUAGUCAAAAUAAAAGGCACAAAACAUUGAAGAAAGAAAGGCAGAAUGAGCCGUGUUUGUCGUCCGGGUCUGACCUGCUUGGUCCUGUCCUGGGAAUCAGGAGACAGGUUGUUGAAGGUGUAGUGGGCCUGAGUGAUGCCACAGAACAGCACUGCGACCACACCUGCAACACACCAGGAGGGACGGAGAUACAUAAGUUUCAGGAGUAUAUUAUACAGUAAAUUAUAUUUAUUACACAUACAUAUAAUACAUUCCUGUUUACAUCUAUGUGUGUGUAUAUAUUUUCUGUCUGUCUUUUGAUUCUCAUUUUGCUUUUAAUUGUGCAAUUCCUGCAACUGCUUCACUGUAAUUAUUGAGCAUAUGGUAAUAAAGAACUUGAAACUUGAGUUAGAAGAUAAACAAACACUGAUUAUUAAC